GUAAUGCAUGGAGCUUACCGGUACUAAUCGGUCGUGAGGCUUAGCCACAAUAUUGGUGAUCUUUGAUUGCAGACCAGCGCUUUGGUUUUGUUUUGCUUGCAUAUAAAUAAAAUAAAAAAAUAACUCGACGCAUGAAUGAAUAAGGUGUAAAAGCCUUCAGUUCUUUUGAUAAAUUUAUACAUCGAAAUACAAUUUUCGGUGGCGAUGGCGUCAAGGUCACACCCGUUCCCAUCCCGAACACGGAAGUUAAGCUUGACUGCGCCGAUGGUACUGCAUGGGUGACUGUGUGGGAGAGUAGGACGCCGCCGGAU
rnacentral:rRNA from 1 species